rnacentral:lncRNA from 1 species
GACUGCCAAGUGCCAAGCUGCUCAUGAAUGCUGCUCCCCACCAUGGUUAAACUGCUGCUACUUCACAGUGCACUUCAUCUCCUGGAAUGAGCUUCAAGCAUCCUCCUACAAAUGCCUGCUUUGUUGUGUUCAUAGCUGUGUUUACAGUUGCCUCAAGGACAAGGAACAACACUUCUCCAUUAUGCUUUUGUUGCCUCAGUGUUGGAGCCA